GUGAGGCCCUGAAGGCUGCCAUCAGGGAAAGCUUCUGGUCUGCUGGAAAGGCUUCUAGAACAUCUCCAAGUCCAGGUGCGUUCCAGAAUGCUAAGAACCAAAGGAGAAGGGCAUGCUUCUGUCCGUGGCUUUUUACUUUUUAAAACUGAA
rnacentral:lncRNA from 10 species